rnacentral:lncRNA from 1 species
AUGGUGAGCAGGCCGAGCUAGAAAAGCAAAAAAGAUGGCUUUGCUUGCGUUUGUUUGUAGGUGGCGGGGAGGAUGACACAGUUUAUCCAUCCCAAGCUUUUGAGGAGAGCCGAGGAGGUGCUGGGCAUGCUCUCCACGCCCAAGUCCACUCCGCAGUACCCCUACGACAAGAAGUUCAGUGAGGUGCCGCUCGAGGAGCGAGAGAAACUUAUGUACCAGUGGGCCAACAGCGACGACGACGAUUCCCGUCUCAACUUCAAGAUCUUCAAGACGUUCAUCCUCAACACUGUCUAUAGCAAGGUGCCAUGGUUUAAAAAGACGCUCUCUAUAUCAAGACAUUGUACCUCUUGGCUUGCAGGUGGAUGCUAAGGGCUACAACCCGACCUGGGAAGCCAUCGGCUAUGCGGGACCGGAUCCAAACUCCAUGAAAGCAACGUUGCCUCCAAAGCCGUCAGCUCUCAAGUCCGCCGUCUUCGACGUCAGAGAGCACCCCGACCUGCGAGGAGUCCUCAAGCACACGGGUUACACUCUACUGGAUGACAUAUCUCACCUCAAGCCGGCGCUCCUGCCUUCCAACAAGCUCGAGGACGGAGAGGACGUGAUUGGCAUCAAAUGCGACGUGAUCAUUGUUGGAGCUGGCAGCGGAGGAAGCGUUCCAGCUCAGGUCCUGUCCACUGCCGGCCUCAAAGUUUUGCUGCUGGAAAAAGGCCGCUACUUUGCGAGAGAAGAUCUGUCCCUGCUCGAGCAACCGACUUUCAGCGAGCUCUACGAAGAAGGCGGAUUUCUGGCAACUGACGACGUUGCUUACUCGCUCAUGUCCGCUGCGGUGGUGGGAGGCGGAACUUGCAUCAACUGGGCGGCAUCCUUCCAGACUCCGCCUCACGUCCGCCAGGAAUGGGCCGAGGAGUGUGGACUUCCCAUGUUUACCAGCGAAAAGUACCAGCAAGCUCUGGAUCUCAU